AGGUGACAGACUUGUUAGUGCAGU
rnacentral:siRNA from 1 species